rnacentral:tRNA from 1 species
UGCAUCGGCCGGGAAUCGAACCUGGGGCGCCCGCGUGGCAGGCGAGCAUUCUACCACUGAACCACCGAUGG